AUAGAGACGAGUCUGCCAAGUCCAAGGAAACUACUCCUUUCAGUCCCACAAUUUCACAAUUCAAUAUCGUGUUUUGAGUUUAUCUCCGCAAGUUAAGGUUGGAGCGGGAAAUUCAAGUUAAAGAAAUUAAACGAACGAGGUUAUCUCCGCAAGUUAAGGUUGGAGCGGGAAAUUCAAGUUAAAGAAAUUAAACGAACGAGUGAGGGUGGUGUCCCUACUCGGACUAGUGUACACAGGUGACCGUGGAAGGUGGCCACCUUCCACGGCACAAAGAUGAUAUAGUGGAGGCCGUUGGGAGGUGGCCACCUCCCCGGCUGGAGAAA